GAUGAACGCUGGCGGCGUGCCUAAUACAUGCAAGUCGAGCGAACAGAUGAGAAGCUUGCUUCUCUGAUGUUAGCGGCGGACGGGUGAGUAACACGUGGGUAACCUACCUAUAAGACUGGGAUAACUCCGGGAAACCGGGGCUAAUACCGGAUAAUAUUUUGAACCGCAUGGUUCAAUAGUGAAAGACGGUUUCGGCUGUCACUUAUAGAUGGACCCGCGCCGUAUUAGCUAGUUGGUAAGGUAACGGCUUACCAAGGCGACGAUACGUAGCCGACCGGAGAGGGUGAUCGGCCACACUGGAACUGAGACACGGUCCAGACUCCUACGGGAGGCAGCAGUAGGGAAUCUUCCGCAAUGGGCGAAAGCCUGACGGAUCAACGCCGCGUGAGUGAUGAAGGUCUUCGGAUCGUAAAACUCUGUUGUUAGGGAAGAACAAAUUCGUUAGUAACUGAACAAAUCUUGACGGUACCUAACCAGAAAGCCACGGCUAACUACGUGCCAGCAGCCGCCGCUG
rnacentral:rRNA from 1 species